CUGAAGGAAGUGGGCGGCAGCGGAUGUGGACUGGGCACCUGGGCGCUGCGAGGUGUUAGAGACGCAGACCAACCCCCUACCGUUACAGUAAGAAAACCAAGAUGAAGCUGGGCUCUCGCUAGGCUGAAUCACUUCAUAUUACAAAUUUUUGUUUACCCAUUUCAUCGUGCCUCCCCUUCUACAAUCCUGGGGGCUGUUCGCUAUUGCAGCUCCAGUGCUUAGGCAUGUCCUCCCAGGGACCAGCCUCAUGUUCAGUGCGUAAUGGGAACAGCAGCUUUGGGGGAGGUAGGUAUCCUGGCAGAUGGGAGGCAAGCUAGUCCACACUGGGACCAAAUGAGGUGGGAGGUGGCCUUUUGGGGACCUGCAGUCCCACCUGCUGGCAGAUGCUGGCAUAACGGGCCAGAACAUUGGCAUUUUCCAUGAUGGCAAGAGAUGAGGGGGUGUGUUCCCCAAUCUUCAGCACACAGCGCCACUUGGCAAAGUCAGCUCCAUCCUUCUUAUACUGGGCACAGCGCUCAGACAGCCCAUCCAGCCCUGAAGAGAAAACGAAGGAGUCAGAGCAUGGUGGGGGAGGGAGGGAUGCAUCUCCACUCGCUGGCUGGCAGGGGAAAGAUCCAAACAGUUCUCACCUUGGGUGGUGGUUUCGCCGUUGGUUCCCGCCAGGGGCACCACACCCUUGUCUACCUGUUGGGGUGGAUGAGGGUAAUGAUCUCUAGUAUCUUUUCCUCCUCCCUCAACCCCAACCUCACUUAAUCUCUUACCGACCUCUCCAAGCUUGCCCAUAUUUUUACUUAGUUAUAGUACCCAGACCUGUGAGGUGUGAUACAUUGGAAUAUUAUUCCACAAGAAUAUUAACUGGAUUGGGUGUCAGGACACCUGGGCUCUACCACUCACUAAUGCCGAGCAAAUGAUUUUACCUCCCUAAACUUCUGGCUUUUCACCUGUAAGUGGGAAAAUGCCUUGCUCUUAGAAUUAUAAGGAUUAAGAAUGCCAGGGCUGGGGUUGUGGCUCAGCGGUAGAGCACUCGCCUAGCACAUGCGAGGCCCUGGGUUCGAUUCUCAGCACCACAUAAAAAUAAACAGUACAACUAAAAAAGAAAAAAAAAACAUUAAAAAAAACUCCACCUGCGGCUAUAGUAUCUGCCUAGCAUGCAGGAAACUAUGGGUUUGAUCCCCAGCACCACACAAACAAGUCUGAGUACACCAUAAAGUCUGUAACCAAAGCUCCACCCUAGUCUUUAGACCCCCAACUCAGUAUUCAUCUCCUGCCCUAUUAAUCUGGAUUCCUUUCCCUCACAUUAAUUUCCAAACUUAAAUCCUGAGGCCCUGGCUCCCUCACCUUGAUGCCCACGACACCACCCUUGGAUUUGAUGACUUGGGGGAAGGAACGCCCAUCAUCCGCCUUCUGGUAGAGUGUCUCAUGGAAGAGGAUGACACCCCCAAUGCAGGGAUUCACACGGUCAUCAGCAGUCAGCAGCAGCUGGCGGUAGAAGCGCCGAUUCUCCUCAGUGUUCUCAGUGCCAAUGGACUGCAGCCGCUUGGCAAUGCUUCCUGGAAGGGAGCAUCACAUGGGAGAAUAAAGAGAUUGACCUGUCACUUCCAA